AAUGAACGCUGGCGGCGUGCCUAACACAUGCAAGUCGAACGAGAACGGAUUGCUUGCAAUCCUUAGUAGAGUGGCGCACGGGUGAGUAACACGUAGAUAAUCUACCUUCAAACCUGGAAUAACUAUUCGAAAGGAUAGCUAAUACCGGAUAAAGUUAUUCAACACAGGUUGAAUAAUGAAAGAUUGCCUCUUCUUGAAAGCAAUUGUUUGGAGAUGAGUCUGCGGGACCAUUAGCUUGUUGGUGGAGUAAUAGCCUACCAAGGCAUCGAUGGUUAGCUGGUCUGAGAGGAUGAUCAGCCACACUGGAACUGGAACACGGUCCAG
rnacentral:rRNA from 1 species